rnacentral:rRNA from 1 species
UACGAAGGGGGCUAGCGUUGCUCGGAAUCACUGGGCGUAAAGGGUGCGUAGGCGGGUCUUUUAAGUCAGAGGUGAAAUCCUGGAGCUCAACUCCAGAACUGCCUUUGAUACUGAAAGUCUUGAGUAUGGGAGAGGUGAGUGGAACUGCGAGUGUAGAGGUGAAAUUCGUAGAUAUUCGCAAGAACACCAGUGGCGAAGGCGGCUCACUGGCCCAUAACUGACGCUGAGGCACGAAAGCGUGGGGAGCAAACAGG